UUUAUCGGAGAGUUUGAUCCUGGCUCAGGACGAACGCUGGCGGCGUGCCUAAUACAUGCAAGUCGAGCGGACAGAUGGGAGCUUGCUCCCUGAUGUUAGCGGCGGACGGGUGAGUAACACGUGGGUAACCUGCCUGUAAGACUGGGAUAACUCCGGGAAACCGGGGCUAAUACCGGAUGCUUGUUUGAACCGCAUGGUUCAAACAUAAAAGGUGGCUUCGGCUACCACUUACAGAUGGACCCGCGGCGCAUUAGCUAGUUGGUGAGGUAAUGGCUCACCAAGGCGACGAUGCGUAGCCGACCUGA
rnacentral:rRNA from 1 species